AUGGAGUGUGUCCUGUGUACACUGCUCUCAGCUCUGGUUGUGCUCCUGUGUUCUUCCCCAGAGUGUAAAGGAGAAGACACAGUGACCCAGCCAACAGGAGACACCUCUGACACUCAGGGAGAAACAGUCAUAAUACGAUGCAAUUUUCAGACCAGCUACGGAAGUCCAGAUCUGUUCUGGUACAAACAAGAAGGACGAGGAGCUCCUGAAUACAUGUUAAAGAAAACUAAACUAUCAUUGUCAUCAUGGUCUAAGACAACUAAAUCUCCAGACUUCAAUCAAGACCGUUUUGAAGUUGAAGCUGAGGGAAACUCUUUGUCUCUGAAGAUCCAGGAUGUGGAUGUGACAGACUCUGCUGUGUACUACUGUGCUCUGAAGCCCACAGUGACAGGAAACACCAAAACUCUGAACAAAAACCUCUGGAGCAAAGACAACACAAUACUGCAGUAG